rnacentral:lncRNA from 1 species
AGGGAAGGCAUCGAGCUUGAGGAAGAGGCCCCAUUCAUCUCCGUACCCCAGGCCCUGGUACACAGCAGGCAGAAUGCGGUGUGUCAGGAGAAGCAAAUCCCAAAUGAGAUAAACCUGCCAGUAAUUUCAGCAAAUGAAACGUGGAACACGUCAAGGCCAGAGGAUGGAAAAGGCUCCAGUUUUGAUAAAAGGAGGCCUGCUUGGCUUGGAAUCCUCUCUCCUGCUGGUUGGGAGAUGCAAAGAUGUUUCCAGAGAGGGGCUGAUGAAUUGAGGGGAAAGAAAUGAGCCCAGUAUGAGUCCCCUUUCAGGGCUGAGCGUGUAUAAAACCAAACAACUUGGAACCGCUCCAAGAGAGGGGAUUAAAGCAACAUGUUAUUCU